ensembl:lncRNA
AAUUAUAAAAAUGUUUUACUAUUUAUAGGUCAAUCUAAACAUGCUCCCAAUUUUUUGUUUUUCCAGAUUGAUGCAUCUGUAAUCCCUGUAAUGAAUGAUGGAGACCUGGCAAAGUACAUCCCUAAAGCUGGAGAUAGAAUAGCUACUGUGGCCUUCUGUCAGAAAGCAAAUGCAUCACUUAACACAAAGAGCAGGAAAGAGUCUAUACUGACAAGGCUACGUCAGAGACUGUCUGGAGAAGCACCUGUAGAAGCACCUGUACCUGUGAAAAAAAAGCCAUUGGCAGGAAAUGCAAAUGCCAAAAAAAAGGAUAGACGGGUUGAGCUUGGAUGGAUGGACUUUAAUGAAAAAGACAAACGGUACAAACAAGUAAAGGCAAUCAGUGGGGGAGGAACGAGACACCUGACAAUCGACAAGGAUAAAACAGUAGUUGAAAUAAAAAAACUAACUGAAGACCUGUUUUUUCCAAAUGGUUUUUCGAAAAAAAAGAAAAGGCUCUCAGAUUAUUCAACUGAAAUUGAAUCGUCUCAGGUACAUGUCAACAGUUGGAGCACUGUGGAUAACUUGUAUGAAGAAAGCAAAGUAAAAAUUCUUAGACUGUAUCUUUGUACCAAAAGAGUAAAUGUGGAGUUGUCCUCUGAGGAAGAGGAAGCAGAGAUGCAUUUAACUUCAACCCCAACUGUUGAUCUCACAGGACAUGAGUCACAUGUUUCAACUGAGGUACAAGAUAUGGAUGACAUAGUUCACCAAGAGAUCGACCUCGAGAUUAUAAUUGGGCCUGUGGCAACUGAAGAUGUGCAGUUGGAUGACACUGUGCCAUGGAAUGACCAGCCACCACAGAGAUUGGUUGAACCUCAAUCUGUUCCUUGGAUUGACCAACCACUGCAGAGCCCAGGUGAACCUCAACCAGCUCCUUCAACUGAACAGCCACCGCAGGGAUUUGGCGGCCUUGUUGCAGAGCCAUGGAAUGACCAGACACUGGGUGAACGUGCUUCGGUUACACUGAUUAUUAGGCGGGGGCAUUGUCUCACUGACCUAAUCAAAGCCUUCACAAACCCAGAUAUUUUAAGCACUGAUGUGUUUAUUAAGAUGAGCCUACCUAAUGGAAAACUUGAAGAAGGAGAGGGAAGUGGUGUGACCCGGGACUGCUUCACAGAGUUGUGGACAGACUUUUAUGAAAGGUGCACCAUGGGCGGGGAUGUGAAAGUACCCUUUAUAAGGCAUGAUUAUCAGUGUGAAGAGUGGCAGGCUAUUGCUAGAAUCUUAGUAGUAGGGUGGAAGAUUGCUCGCUAUUUCCCAGUGAAACUGGCGACACCAUUCCUUGAAGAGGUACUGUACUCCACAACCUUCAGCAGCUUAAAGGACACCUUCUUGCAGUAUGUGUCUGCACAGGAAAGAGAGAUCCUUCAAAAGGCUUUGGAGGACUUUGACUCUGUUGACAGUGAUUCACUAUUUGAUGCUCUUGAGCCACACGAGUGCCAGCAGGUUCCUACAAAGGACCAUCUGAUCCCACUGCUCUCACAGAUGGGACACAAAUCUCUCAUACAGGCACCAAUGUAUGUAAUCGAGUGUAGGUGUCCUAUUGUGGUGCACUUAGCAAGUGUGUUGCCACCAGAUGCUCUGCAUCAUGUCAUAGAUCAGAAGACCCCAACUGGGAAAGUUGUAAAGGACCUCCUGCAGUUUCCAGAUGUGAUGACUGCACCCGAAAAAGCAGUUGUCCGCUACCUGAAGAGAUAUGUAGGUGAAGUUGAUCUAAGAACCCUCCAUCUUUUGUAAAUUUAUAUUUGAUGUAUUGGCUUUCAGUGGUUCUGAUCUUUUUAAAAUAUGCUGGGCAGAGGUACAGCUCUAGAUCCAC